GUGCCAGCCGCCGCGGUAAUACGGAAGGGGCCAGCGUUGUUCGGAAUUAUUGGGCGUAAAGGGCGCGUAGGCGGCUUGGCAAGUCAGUUGUGAAAUCCCUCGGCUCAACCGAGGAACUGCGACUGAUACUGCCGGGCUCGAGUCCCGGAGAGGGUAGCGGAAUUCCCAGUGUAGCGGUGAAAUGCGUAGAUAUUGGGAGGAACAUCGGUGGCGAAGGCGGCUACCUGGACGGGUACUGACGCUGAGGCGCGAAAGCUAGGGGAGCAAACAGGAUUAGAUACCCCCGUAGUCC
rnacentral:rRNA from 1 species